UAAAUACUCCUGAAAAUUUUAUCCAAUUUAAGGAAGUAUAUGAAAAAUAUGCGAGCACUUUAUCAAGUGGCAUAAGGACAAACAAAGAAAUAUCCCUGAGGGAGAGAAUAGCCAGGGAUAGGCUCAUGGGAACUGGGUCAUCAGAGGAGAUAGCUCAGAUAGAGGAUAUAACUGAAAUUCAAUAUUGGUGGGAAGGGAAUCAAUAUCGAUUUCCAGUUCUAUCAAAAAUAGCAAUGGACUAUCUCCCCCAGCAGGCUACAUCAGUAGCAUGUGAAAGGAUAUUUUCUAAAGCUAAUGAUAAAAUAACU